rnacentral:lncRNA from 1 species
AAAUUUGCAAAAUAUAUUUGAUUUUCUGCCUCUUAAAACUCAUUCGUUGAACCUGCUAUAGUUAAUUAAGAUAUAUAUAUAGGUGAAACACACUGGUAUGGCAAUAUCUUCUGCUGAUUCUAUUUUUGUGCAUUGCCUUUCAGCAACUAUAAUCCCUGGUUCCAAGGAACCAUUGAUACCACGUAUGCGUCUGUGGAGGAGGGAGAGAGAGAGAGUUCUCAAUAAUCAACUAGUCCGACCAAUCUCUGAUCUUCAAAAAAUCAUGAAAGACAUUCAUCUUCGCAUCUUGCUUAAUACUUUGCAACAAAUUUGGUAUUCACAUUAGAAACUUUUCUUGUCGCGUGAAAUUCGGAACCUGAAGUGGCAAUUAAAUUGCUUUAUUGAAAAAUAUAUGGCCAACCCUUCAUUCAAGCAAGGCCAGAAAAAGAACAAAAAGCUCUUCUACACGGUGGGUACCUUGUCUCCACCUUUGCAAGCUAUAGCUUUAUGCGAGAUCUCUAAAAGGCAUCGUUGACGCCAAUCUGCUAAUUGUGCAGAGGAUCAGGUGACGAGGGUACUUUUCUCUCUUCAACAGCAAGAAAUUCAUCUCCAACUUGUGUCAUUGCAGUAGCCGUGGUUGUCGUUGUCGUUGUCGUCAUCUUCCUUGCUUGAACGGUGUCUUUGCCUCUCAUGCUCUCCUUCACAUGCCGAGCCCCAGAAACAAAUUCGGUGCUCAAAGCCGAUGUGGUUAAGAAAAUCAACAGCAGGCAGCACACUUGGAACUUCGAAUCGUCAGCCAUGGUGAUUCUGAAUGCGCUGUGUUUAUGCCUCAGAAGCAAAAUGAGAAGAGUGUCAGGGUGAUGACAAACGUUUGAUUACAAAGGCUUAGGGUCUUAUAUUAGUUGUGAAAACAAGAAGUUUUCUAAUAGAGGACAAGCAAGACUUGUCAACAACUCCUGUAGCAUUGUCUGGUGGAAUGAAAUUUCCUUAACAGAAUAAUGACAUCCAUUGCUGCUUCAUUAGUUGACAAUUCAAUUCACCAGCGCUUGCUUUUUCCCCUCAAUUCACUCAUAAUGUCUGGUCAUGUUCCAUGUCAAACAACGUGUCUGUGGUGUCUAGAGAAUCAUUGAAUACCAAACAGGUCCAGCCAAAAAGCGGUCAAUCUCAUCAUCCAAAAGCUAAACCAAACAAUACCUAAACAGAUUGGUCAUAGAAGGGACCUCAAUUUCAGGUCAUAAUCUUGACACUCUUCCCAUUCUCUCCAAUCCCUCCUCCGGCUAAAAGUCCAACAUGCUGAAGUCCAGUGAGUGCCGCCCUCCCUAUGGGCUAACUUGUCCUUCUCUCCAAUAAUUUAUCAUCAACUGCUGACUGUGAAGAGUAAAAAGAGAGUGUGUUUGGUGGUUGUUUGGCGCCGCCCUCCCGUUGGUUCUCAGACCACAGUGUUCUCAUCGCAAAGAAAGGAGCAAGUAAAAUGCUUAAUCAGAGGCAUCUUCUAUGUUACAUGUAAUGUCUUCGCUGGGUUUAUGCGCAACAUAUGGUAGUUCCUACACUGCAUAUCUUCUUUCCAACCAAGAUGUUUGAUUUCUCUCUCUCUCUCUCUCUCUCUCUCCCUCUCUCUCUCUCCAUCUAACCACCAUAAAAGUUGGGUAGCUUUUCAGUUUGCAGUAACCCGAUGGAUUGAAAAAAAGGGUGUUAGCUAAACCAAACCUGCUUCCUAGAAUAAGGAAAUUUAAGAAAGGGGGAAAAGGGAAAGAAGGGGCCUAAGAUCUAAAGUCUUGUUUGAAGAGCGUGCAAAUGAUGAAAUGACUUUGGAAUUCAGCAUGCUAUGAUUAUCCAGUGGACAGCAUCGUCAAUAAACGCAAUCAUUAGAGUAAUAGAAACAGUCUCAUAAACAUGACCUUUUGGACGCUAAUUCCCAUAACAAGAUGGCACGACUUGGAGCAGAAAUCGUCUCAAGAUCUCACUGUAUAAAGCACGCAGAUUAUUGCCAGAUCAAUCUCGCCGACAAUGUCAUAUUGUUUGCUUGAACCAUAUAUCAAACACACGUAAGGCAACCAUUUUAUUUCUAUUCCAAAAUAUUUUUUUUAUUUUAAAUUAAUCUGUUUGAUAACGCAAUUUACUUUUUCUAUUUUUGAAAUAAACUUUUAAUACAUAAAUAAAUUUGGCAUAAAAAUGAAAAGUAAUUUCUUUAUUUCUUUAUUUCUAAAAUAUAAAUAAGAAAUAAAAACACUCUCGUUACUAAUCCUUUCUAUUAGUUAGCCACCCACGUGACGUCUACCGCCGCCUACCAGCAUCUCUCGAGAAGGAAAAACUUUGUUGAUUCUCUUUUAGAAACAUAAACUUUGUGUCAUUAACAAACACGAAUUUUUGCUCAUAAACUUAUCUAGAAAUAGAAAUAAAUAAAUAAAUUAUCUUUUAAAAAAUAAUUUCUGAUCAAAAUGAUUAUAAUUCGCGCCCCAAGUCACCGGUGGACGAGUGAAAAUUUUCCCCCUUCACCCACCACCAUUAGUGCGCAAAAACAGAGUGGGCUUCUUUUAGAUGCCAUGGAACGUAGACCACACGAUCGAAUAAAGGGAAAGAACCCACUCAAUCUUCAGAAACUCCCAUAAGAGCCGAAAAAUUGAGUCAACAGAAAAAUUCCCAAAACAUGAAUCUAACAAUUAAACAUGACAACUAUCUAGAGGUCAAGAACUAUUGAAUCUCGUCUUAUAUUACCAAAAUUGAGUCAAUACAAAUGUUGCAAAAAACUCAUCGAUUUGAACCCCUAUUAAACCCAGGUCCCCCACACAUCAUCUAGAUCACCUCUCAAUUGGACAAUGGUUACAGAAAGAGGCUCACAACCUUAUGAUGCAUUAACAAUGAAUAUGGUACCGUCACAAAUGAACAAAUACAGUAGCUUUCAUUCAUGAUGUAUAAAUCCGCUAGCUGACAGAUGUAAUGUCCCAUGGACAGAGAUGCAUCCCUAUGAUCUACAAUUUCUUCAAGGUUCCCUGUAGAUUCAUGCUAUACCGAGACAGUGAACAGAUAAAUCUUCAGGACAACGGCAAGAGCCAACUGCAACAGGAAGAUUGCAGCCACUAUCAAAAACCACCUCUCCCCUGCAGACUUAAUGUGGGCUCGGAGGUUAAGAGCCACAAAGGUGGCAGACAUGAAACCAGCCACACCAGCAACCACCCAUCUGAAUAUAUCCAGCGGCACGAUGGAGAGACACUGAAUCCAGAAUUUAGAGACAAUUCAGAUUCCAAAAAAAAUUGGGAAGAAGCUAUAGUACAUCAUAGAUAAAUGGCCCGACCCUCAUCCAAACAUUGAAUUCACGGCAUAAUUAAAUUUGCUUCUAGUUAUGAAUAACUAAACAUGGCAGUUGACAUUCCCGUCACUGGAAAAUACAUUCUUGAUAGCUAUGAAGACAUGACAGUGAAAUCAAAAGAUGAAUUGAUAUCAAAACUGUCUCUACAAGUGACUUCUCCCUACUACACACUGAAAUCCUUUUCUUUGAAUCAAUUAAGAAGGCCAAAGAAAUGAUUGGGUGGGAUUGACACCUAACAAAGAACAAGAGCUCAUGGUUGCUGCCAUAUUAAUCUCAGAAAAAUAUUAAUGUAAAAGCAAAUGGUAGACCAUCCUCAAAGUAUAACCAGCGUGAAAUGUCUUAAUUGGACUUGUGUUUAUAUGAGAAGAAUGAAUCACCCAUAACAUCCUUGUAUUUUCCAUAUAUGACCCAACAAUUUUUUGUUGUUUAUUUCGAGUAUAUAAGACCACCGACGCUCUCUCUCAAAUAAGACGAAGAAACUUACCAAUGCUGGAAUGAAGACAAAAAGGGAGUAACCAUAAAGGCAAAGCAGCUGAAUAAGACCGGACGGUGCCGAGAAGUAUUUCAAGAUGACGUAUAAUCCAAGAGGUACAAUAGUAACAUAGCCAUAAAAUAAUCCAGCAGACCAUGUCACAAGAUUUAUGUCGUAGUUCCAUUGUUCUUUCUUCAGCUUGUGAGCUACAUAUGUGACAAAAGUCCCAAUUGAAGCUGCAACAAAAAUGAGGGUGGUGCAUAUCCAGAAUGGUCCAUACCUGCACAUUCAAAUAUAAUCACCUAAAAAAAGAUUGAAAACAAAAGGACAAUAUUAAACAAAAUUUUCUGCUUAGGGCCUAUCUAUCUAUGGCUGGAAGUGCAGAUCAAAUAAAACCCGAGAUAUAGAUCAGUGCACUAAAAGGUAAAGAAAAAUGCACCUUAAGAAGCUUUUAAGGAAUAUAAGAAGUGCUGAUGUCUCACUCAACUAGUCUGAAGCUGCUUUGAUUUUACAUCAAGAUGAAGGCACUCACAUGCGAUGGCGAUGAAGUGCAAAGCUCAUCAUGCACAUUUCAGUUUCAAAUAAGCUGAGUGGAUUUUAUUUUAGGGAUAUUUCAAAAGAAUUGCACUAUGGCAGUAAACCUCCCCAGCAAAAUCUCCACCAUUUACUCACAUGACACACAUUCCCUAUCAGGGUUAAAUCAUGUGGAUCAAAGCUAAAUGCUUAAAGCAUUGCUGAUACCAAAAUCCACCAUGAAUUUCCAUGAACUCUAGCACCUUUUAAAAGUGUCAUAUGAUACAAAAGUGAGAGAUUACCAAUGUGAUUCCCCUAGUUGUGUCGGAGAAUAUUGUCAUUCCACAAUCGCACAUUUCAGAAAUAAAGUCACACCACUAUUUAACAAAUCCAUGAAAUUAAUACGCCCGACCCGAAUCUCCAAGAAAGUCCUCUUGGGUCGCGGAACCAACAUCCUCGACCGAUACAAGAACACCCAAUUCGAAAAAAAGAAAAAAAAAAAAAAACCAAGAACGAAUUCACCGAACGAAAAAAGGAUCGAGGAACACGCGAGACGCCACGCGAAUCAAACGCAAGAAUCGCGGAGCCACGCAUCCAGAAUUAACAUUCUUCUCGGUCAAUAUGAAGCCUUCAAAAUGAAACCAGGAGAAUCUAUAACUCUACUCAAAUAUCGCAGGUGCCAAAAGCUCAGGACAACUUACAGAUCCGGGUUGCUGGAGGUUUUCUCAUUAAAGCUUCCUCUAAAUGGGAAUAGUGAAUCUUUAAUCCUCUCUAGCACAUCUGAUGUGUCAACAUCAAAAUACGGUUUAUAGGAGGCAACUGAGAACCAACCAAACCAACCACUUGGCUGAGAGUCAUCUGAUCCGACUGUAGAUUUUGAAAAUGUAUCUGCAUCAUAAUCAAGAAAAUGUACAUAAAUAGCAAUAUACAUAAUUUGCAACAGAAUUUCAAUCCGCUUUAAGAUUUAAACCUGACAAUAGGAUCUUCAGUAAUUUUUGGUCGAGUUAAAUAUGAAAACAGCAAAAGCGAGAAAUAAUGUAAUUGCAGCAGCAGAAGCUGAGAUAUAAAUUUCCAAGCAUGCACUGCCUUUUCUCUUCAAAUGCUUCAUCAAUCAACAAGAUUGUGCCUCAUUAAACAGAGUUCGUUUAGAUAUGAACAAACACUAGGCGGAUGGAAUCUAACAUUAAAUUUGCCUCAUUAUGCCUUUCACAAGGAUGGAAGUCAAGAGGGCAGUAGCAAAGCAACAUAAUAUCCUAAGUCCCAAAAACACACAACACAAAGUACGAUAAUGUCUUGCAUACCAUCAGCAUCUCGAGGAGGACCAGAGCCACCAGAUAUCUUCCCUUUUGCAUCGGAUGGAGGGAAAGUCUGGAGAUUUGAAUCUGAGAAAAAGAUCAUUUCUAUUGAGCUCCGAAUAAAUAAAUAAAAAUGACGUCGAUGAAAAUCAUUAGAGACAUCAAUUGCCAUGAGAUAAUAUCUCAACAAAGGCUGAGUGGCUUUCAAAUCCAGAACUGGACAAGCUGAACUGAUCCUCUAAUCGAACCUAUGCAUCAAAUCAUUGACUCAAACAACAGGAAUUUCCUCCUGCAAGAGCUACCAACGUCGGGCUUUUCCCGACGUUUUCUCCACCCAUAAAAGACGAUCUAAAUCUCAUAAACAGCAGGAACACUACUGAUAAAAGGUAAAUCGUACUGACAACAGACCCGAAUUAUCCACUAUUCCUCUUCCUAAUCAAUGCCCGAUUCACGACUUGGCAGCUCACGCAUGCCAAGCUCAAAAGCGUAGACAGCCUCAGCCAAGACAAAUCCACACUCGACGCUCGUUUUCCGCAAUCAAAGCACAGAACAGAAGGCAAAACUCGAACAGAUUCCUCUAAUCGCAGCACAUUUCACAUUUCCUAAUCUCAAAAAAACAACAACCGAGACUUCCACAAUUUUCACACCACCCGGUACCUGUGAAUCUGACAGCUACGUGCCCUGGAUCUGGGACGGCCUGCGAAAAGAUCGAGCGAGAUCAGCUGAGAUCCGACGGAAUACGACCGGUGGACAAUCCACCCACGCACGCAGCACCAGAAAUCGAGAAGCGACGAAGCGCGAUUGCGGGUCGAGGAGCGACUCACCGGAACAGAUCCCGACACCUUCUGGUUGUCGAUGCUCGUGUACUUGCCGGACAUCAUCUUGCCACGCCUCCUCCUUCUACUUCUUCUUCUGCUUCUUCUUCUUCGUCUUCUGCCGCUUCGCGACUUUGAUCGUCUUCUUCGCAGAGAUCUCGCCUCGCAGGAAUGGCGUAUCCGGAUUUUGUUUUUCUUUUUUUUUUAUUAUUCCUUUUUGCCGUCGAUAUUGUUUUUUUUAUUUGCGUGUUUCGCUCCACUUUCUGUUUGUCUGUUGCAGGGAAAACGGUGGGUCGGCUUUGGGCUGGGCCCAUUACUGGAACCCAAAAGCAGUCCGGAAAUGGGCCGAGCCCAGUCCUACUUUGGCGGGUGUUGUUCAAACUUCGAGUUUUGCUUGCGUUUCUGGCCCGUAAGGAUGUGCAUGGUUUCAAGAUAGAAUCUGAAAUCUAUGAAUCAAAUUGGUGGAAACCAAUCCUAUUCUAGGUUCUAGAAUAUGUAGGGUAGAUUUAAUCUCCAAAAAUUAACAAAUCUAUUCCAAUGGGUAAGUUAAGGGCCUGUUUGUUUGGCUUUUGUUUCUAUUUCCUGGAAUACAAUUUCUAUUCUUUUGUUCCGGGAAACAAAAAAAGAACAAAAAUGCGUUUGUUUUUUUAUUUACCAUCGGCCGUUGCAGCUUGGAUGGUAGAUCCUUUGUCCUCCACCGAGGAGGCCAAGGUUCGAAGCCCUUGCGAAACAGGGAGGCUGAAGCGCUAUGUGGUGACUUAAACGUGGCGUCGGGGUGGUGGUUUCCCCGCUAGCGAAACCUGGGGGUUUACGUGGCGGCUGUCGGCCAAAGCGAUUCCUCCAACAAAAAAAAAAAAAAUGCGUUUGUUUACACUUUUGUUCCUGGGAACACUUCCGAGAAACAAUUUUUUUCUUCUCUUUCUUUUCUUUUUCUUUUUUCUUUGGCCGGUCGCCAGCCUCGGCCAUGGUCGGUGACCGGCCAUUGAGGGUCAGCGACCUCGCCGGAGCAUUGUCGAUGGUUGGGCAAGCUCUACCUCAUCGGGCCAUCGCUAGGCGACGCCAACCCGGCGGUGGCCUGGAGAGGCCAUCGGCCCUCGUCGGCCAGUUGCCAGCCCUGGUCGAGGCCGACAACUGGCCAAAAGGAAGAAAAAAUUAAAAAAUUAAAAAAAAUUAAAAGAUUAAAAAAUUAAAAGAAACAAUAUAUAUAUAUAUAUAUAUAUAUAUAUAUAUAUAUAUAUAAGUUUAUCAAACGUGUUUCUGUUCUUUUUCUAUUCCGGAAAUAUAAAUUUUAUGCAGUUACCAAACGCAUUCUUCUAUUCAAAAAUUGUUUCCCAGAACAGAUUUAUGUUCCCUAGAACAAUUUUUGAACAUAAACGUUACCAAACACGCCUUAAGUUUUUGUGUUUAUCUUAUCCUAUGUCUUUGCUUGAUUAUACGAUAUUCUAUGGCAUUCAAUAGUAACCUGAGCUUCUAUUUCUAAUGCUAUCCAUAAUUGAGACUGGUGGAUUGUAGCACAUGAAGGUCAUUAAAGAUUGUUCACUAUUUCAAUUUCUAACGAUAUCAAGACUUUUACUUUGCUAACAUUUCAUAAUUUUCGCAUGUUUAAAUAUUAAUUGUGAUUAGUGAAUUAUAACAAAUGAUAGUCGUUAAAGGUGAUGAUUCACUGAAAUCGUUCAAUUAAGUGUAUAAGUAUAAUAUGAAUAGAUCAUGGAGCCAACUAUUUUCAAGGUAAGUUUUAGGUUCCUGAGUAUGCAAAAUAGGUUCCACAUUCCAAAUAUUAUGAAACUUAUUCGGACGGCUAAGUUCUAGGUUUCAAAUGGAACUGAAAUUACUUACCUCUACCAAGUUGUCAUCAACUUCCCUGACGAGUGAUAUCCAGCUAGCAGUAUAUAGGCUUCAUCAUUACCAUAGGAGCCAGGUUCAAUGUAGAUGUCUAGAGAGGCAAGGAGCGAGUGAUUGUCAUAUACAACAUGUUAUAAUUGAACGCCACACAUCAUAUCGAUUGAUGACAUGACAUGUGAUAAUUACUAAAUUUUUAAUAUAAUUCGGAUUUUGACAAAGUUUCAAAACUCAUGUCAAACAAUUCCCAACUAUGAUCCCAAAUCCCAAACGAUGAGACAGGUUUGGAGCUUGCCUACUCCACAACAGAAGUGUUGCCUGAACUCAUCUAACACCAUCAAAGCAAGAACAGGGUCCUUAAACCACUCGAAACGCGGAUAAGCUCCACAUGUUUCGUCCACUUUUAUCCAGGAUGGUGGUAUUAUCAUCACCCGCAAGGGAGUUGCUUAGGUAUUUUUCGGCUAAUUUAGGCUCUUAGAGGCCAAAGCAGGAGGACUCCUACAAAAGACAGAGUGGCUAACACGGUUAAGUAAGAAAAUCCGAGGUUGCCUCACCGCGUAAUCGAGUUGCAGCUGACCUAAUUUAUCUUUGUAUCCCGUCGUUUUACUUGAACAUACAAACAUCCCACAUUAGCUGCGUGCAGCGUGUUCUCCCGAUUACUCCAUUCCGACUCUCCCGACUCGAAAACAAAAAUGUCGAUCUAAUAUGACCAUUCAAACAAUUAGCAUGCCGUAAAUGCUAGGCGCGGUUCACAAAAUGAAGUCGCUUUAUUGUAACAUCAUAUUCUAUUAUUCACUCUAAGUUUGAAUCCAACAUUCAUCAGCGAGUUGCUAGAUUCACCAGAAGCCUAUCGCAUCACGGAUCAUCCAGGUGGACCACUCAGAAACUUCCUUUCGAGUACAUAGCUAACCUGCUUUCAACGCCAUAAGUCAAGACGAAUAUCUACUAAACUGCCUUCGCUGAGGAAAUUCAAAAUCCAACACAGACAGAAACUAUUAUGAACACAAGUAUCUAAACAACUUCUACAAGGGCAAUUAAUUUGUCCUUUCAAGGGACAAAAACCACAUUAAAAAAUAAUGAUAACCUCACAAGUCACAAGUUCACCAUCACAAUGCCAACGUUUGGCAAGGCAUAUGCUUUAUUAGCGGCAAGAUCAUGAUCAGCAUAUUCUUAUUCCUCGUGAUUUCAGAGUUCUUCAGAUGAAACCGCAGUCUGCUUGUAUUCUUCCCCAAUAUAUGGAGAGUCCCGACUCUGGCUACUCCACAAGAAGAUGAUUCCAUCAUCACCUGUGACAGUCUCCGCAAAUGCAGUUCUGAAUAAGGCUUUAUAGGUUCCCUGCCUACAACAUUAUUUUACAUAGGUCCAUCAGUAUUCCAAGUUAUCCAUUCCCUCUCAAGCACUUUUUAGUCCGCCCCUCGUGAGCAGCAGAGAUCUCCUUAAUGCAAGCAUAAGAACCCAUGUGGUUGCACUAAUCUUUUCCUUAAUCAUUAAAAGCAAAGCAGAGCUCAACACGGUCUUCAAAAUUUGAGCUCGCAAUCCCUUGAAAAAACCCAGAAAGCCUUCUCUAUUCCAUAUGGCGAGCAUGAUUCCAGGAAUUGUUUUGCGAGGUUUCUUCUUAGCUGUUUCUGUUCCAUUUUCACUAGAAUCGACAGCUUGAAUCAUGACCUUACACCUUCAUGCAACAAAAUGCUAAUUAGCUCUUAGUUCUGCAACAAAAGCACACAGAAUAGGUAAAUUUAUUGGAAAGAAAGAUGCACCUUAUUGCGGGAUAAGUCAAAAUAGUGGCGAUGCUCUUCGAAAGCGCACCCAAGGCAAAAGCUGAGAAUGCAGAAAGUGAUUCAGGUGAUGAACCCUUGUCUGUUUUAUUCUGUUUUCCUUUCAAGAGUCUUAGCUUGAGCUGAUCAAAGACUGUGUACUGAAGGGAAAAAAAAAAAAAAGGUCAGUCUAAUGAAAAUUCUCACACAGGGACUUAACAACAACAAUCAUCACAAUGCUUACACCACUCGAAAAGCAAAUACCUGAAUCGCAGGGUUAGAAGUCAGCAAAAGGGAGAUCCCAAGACCAUCAAACGCAUGAGUCCAAUCACCCUCAGUAAGGGUCUGCCAAAGGCCCUUGGAUUUCCCAAAGGCACUAGUUUGCAUCCUGGCAGCGGCUGUAUCCAGGGGCUACACAACAAUAUACCAAAUUCUCUCAAGAUCACUAACAAAUAUUACUUGCUAAUUUGCAUAUUAAUAAUGAUUCUAUAUUUUCUAGAUCUCAUACAGACAUAGCACAUUCAAAUGGCACUUAUAAUGCUCCAAGGUACUGAGUUCUUAAGCUAGGAUCAGUUUACAUCUGUAUGUUCAUAUAAGUGAAAGGAGAAAACUAACAAAGCAAAACUUUUUGAGAGAGGAUUCACCUGAGUAAUAAUGGCAGUGCAAGCACCAGCUGCAGCAGCCAGAACCAAAUUAGCUGAUGUUCCAACUGACUUAUAACCA